rnacentral:tRNA from 1 species
GGCACUUUGGCGGAGUGGUUAACGCGAUGCCCUGCUAUAGAGUAAUCUAAGUUGAUCAGGCAUUUCCUUCGGGAGCAAGAGUUCGAAUCUCUUAGGUGUCG